rnacentral:rRNA from 1 species
GACGAACCGUGCGAACGUUAUUCGGAAUCACUGGGCUUAAAGCGCGUGUAGGCGGGCCGCCGCGGCGGCUGCUGAAAUCCCCCGGCUCAACCGGGGAAGGGGCACCGAUACGGGCGGCCUGGAGGGGGGUAGGGGGGUCUGGAACUUCCGGUGGAGCGGUGAAAUGCGUUGAGAUCGGAAGGAACGCCCGUGGCGAAAGCGAGGCCCUGGACCCUUACUGACGCUGAGACGCGAAAGCCAGGGGAGCGAACGGG